GAUGUGGCUGGGGACUUUUCUCAGGCAGGAUGGGCUGGCCUUUCCCCCACACAGGGGGCCCUGUACAGAAGUGUGAUGCUGGAGAAUUAUGGGAACUUGACAUCCCCGGGCUGCACAGUUCCCAGAUCUGCCCUGAUCCCACUUCUGGAGGAAGGGAAUUUAUUUGGCUUGGGGACUAGAGGCACAGUACGACCCACUGUAGAGAGGACCACAGACUUCUGUAGAGAUACUGAGAUCAGUGCCGACAAUGAGUCCACAUCAAUGCAGGGAAUUUCUGAAAACAGAGACGUUGUGGUAUCUUGGGGUCUGCAGAAGAAUGCUCUUCCAAGAACCAGCUUCCUAGAAACACAUAAACUGGAAAAGCAUUGGGAAAUUUCCACAGUGAAAAAUACUACAAGAAACGCUCCAAGAAUCCAUGGUGAUCGGAAACCCUUCUGAUGUGAGGUGUGUGUGGGGGUUUCAGCUGUUCUUCUCACGAUGUUCGACACCAGAGAAUCCACACUGGGGAGAAACCUUACAAGUGCGAUGAAUGUGGGAAAGCUUUUGCUGUUAAGUCAACGGUAAGUCAGCAUCAGAGGAGGAUCCACAGUGGAGAGGAACCCUGUGAGUGUGAGCAAGAAUGGGGGAAGAGAGCCUUAAGUGAUUAUGGCAGUCUGAUCAGCCUUCAGAGAAUCCACAGUGGGGACAGGCCCCGUCACUGCCAGGAGUGUGGAAAAGUCGUCACCGGUAGUUCUGAGUUUGUUGGACACCAGAGAAUCCACAUUGGGGAGAAACCUUAUGCAUGUAAUGAGUGUGGCAAAAGCUUUGGAAGGACUUCCUGUCUUAGCAAACAUCAGCUUAUUCACAUGGGGGAAAAGCCUCAUUCUUGUAAAAUGUGUGGAAAAGCCUUUAAUUUGCAUGAAAAACUAACUCGGCACCAGAGAGUUCACAGUGAGAAGAAACCCUUUGACUGUGCAGAUUGUGGGAAAGCCUUCAGUGCUCAGGACCAGUUAAAAAGGGAUCUAAGGGUCCAUACUCAAGAGUCUUCCUGUGUAUGCGGUAAGUGUGGAAAAGUCUUGACUAGCAAAAGAAAUCUUCUGCAGCAUCAAAGAGUCCAUACCACAGAGAAACGCUAUGACCGUGUCAAGUAUGAAAAACCCUUUCGGACUUCUUCCUGGCUGGGCGAUCAUGAGCAUGCCCACCCUGGACAGAAACUGGAGCUGGACAUUUGUCAUUUUGGCCUCCCAGAGUUUUUUACCCCCUUUGCGUGGUAGUAGUAUAUUAAAUUUCCCUUUGGAUUUCAUCUUCUCGGGAGCAGAGUGUGCGACACAGGCCCGGCUUCUUCCAAGCCCUGGUCAUCGGUUCAGAUGUCAGUAGGUGACCCAAGACGGUCCGAUUAGAGUUCCAGGGUGUGUGGCCAGAGUUAACAGGAAGAAAUGCUCUUCUCUUUGGUCUUAAAGCUGAGAAGAAUUCCUGGAUUCCUGUGGGAGCUGAGAAUGGAGUGGACACAGCAGGAACGAAAUCAGAGUUGCAGAGUAAUCUCCCUUGACAGCUCUGUUGGAACAAUUGCAUUGCGCCAUAA